AUUGAACGCUAGCGGGAUGCCUUACACAUGCAAGUCGAACGGCGUGGCGAACGGGUGAGUAAUGUAACGGAACGUGCCCAGUAGCGGGGGAUAACUACGCGAAAGCGUAGCUAAUACUGCAUACUAUUGGAGCGGCCGUUUUCGGAUUAGCUCGUUGGUGGGGUAACGGCUCACCCAGGCGACGAUCCGUAGCGGGUUUGAGAGGACGACCAGCCACACUGGGACGUGGACACGGCCCAGACUCCUACGGGAGGCAGCAGUGGGGAAUUUUGGACAAUGGGGGAAACCCUGAUCCAGCCAUCCCGCGUGUGCGAUGAGGGCCUGCGGGUUGUAAAGCACUUUUGGCAGGAAAGCGGUACCUGCAGAAUAAGCACCGGCUAACUACGUGCCAGCCGCCGCGGUAAUUC
rnacentral:rRNA from 1 species